rnacentral:rRNA from 1 species
GGACCCACGAGCGGAACCCGAAAACCUAGUCUCAGUUCGGAUUGGAGUCUGCAACCCGACUCCAUGAAGCUGGAUUCGCUAGUAAUCGCGCAUCAGCCACGGCGCGGUGAAUACGUUCCCGGGCCUUGUACACACCGCCCGUCAAGCCAUGGGAGCCGGGGGUGCCUGAAGGCCGUGACCGCGAGGAGCGGCCUAGGGUAAAACUGGUGACUGGGGCUAAGUCGUAACAAGGUAGC